rnacentral:rRNA from 1 species
GUAGGGUGCGAGCGUUAAUCGGAAUUACUGGGCGUAAAGCGUGCGUAGGUGGUUCGUUGUGUCUGUGGUGAAAGCCCCGGGCUUAACCUGGGAAUGGCCAUGGAAACUGGCGAGCUGGAGUGUGGCAGAGGGGGGUGGAAUUCCGCGUGUAGCAGUGAAAUGCGUAGAGAUGCGGAGGAACACCGAUGGCGAAGGCAGCCCCCUGGGCUAACACUGACGCUGAGGCACGAAAGCGUGGGGAGCAAACAGGAUUAGAUACCCUGGUAGUCCACGCCCUAAACGAUGUCAACUGGGUGUUCGGGAAGCGAUUCCUGGGUACCGUAGCUAACGCGUGAAGUUGACCGCCUGGGGAGUACGGCCGCAAGGUUA